CUCUGGGGAGGAGAAAAGUACGUACAGUAAACACUGACCAGCACAGUGUGCCCUGCUGUAGGAACGCCAGGGUCAGAACAGCGUGUCACGUUGCCACUUUGAUCGUGGGAUUUGGAUCAGAGAGAACGUGGGAUUUGGACUUUGCUCUGGGUUUGGCUGUCUGCCGCCUGUUGGCUGCGUGACCUUGGCUCCAACCUUGACGAGAGAGUAGGAAAUACGUCUCCCCUUUGACAGGAACAAUGUGUGACAUGAAAGACCUCAGAUGCUGUGCAGGUUUGUGACGGUUCUUCAGAAGAAAGCACCUCCUGCCUGUUCUGUUCAAUGCCAGUCCAGAUGAAGACACUGAGGCACAGGGAGGUGAAACAGUGUCCCACAAUCAUUAACUCACAGGAGGUAAGGCUGGGCCACCAACCUGGGCAGCCUGGCUCCAAACUCCAAGCUCUU